CAGCAGACACAUUCCAGCCAAUCAGCAGCAGACCCUCCCUCCCAGACCCUUCCACCUCCUGGACAGCAUCCAUUUUACAUUCAUUGUGAAGCUGCAUUCUUCUUGAGCUGUCCAGGAGGUGUGAGGGUCUGGGAGGGAGGGUCUGCUGCUGGUUGGCUGGAAUGUGUCUGCUG
rnacentral:miRNA from 1 species